UUUACCUCAGGGUAGCUGGUGUACGUAAUGAAGCUGUUAUAUUGGUAAAGCGAAUGAUUAUAGGGGAAUUGUGGGACGAAACGUCUUCAACCUAUUCUCAAACUUUCAAUGAGUAUGACGUCUUGCUUGCUUGAAUGAAGCAUAGACAUUGAUAUUUCAUUG
rnacentral:ncRNA from 1 species